rnacentral:lncRNA from 1 species
GUGGUUAUAUCUACUAGAAGCUUGUAACUCGAAAGUAGCUGACUUUUGAAAUAAAUGUAUAUAGUUUGGGAGACUAUGGUUGAAUUUUGAUUUGGUACAUAUUUGUUCUGUCCCUGUCCUUUCUUAAAUCUCUUUAAAGGAGAUAAUUUUCUGAACAUGUUUUUUUCUAGCAAUUUAAUUAUGAUAUACUAGUAGUCUUGGUGAUGGUUAUUUUUUUUUUCAACUUUCAAUUUAUUUUAUUAAUAUUAGAGUAACAAGCUUCGGAAAUAGUCACAUGGUUUUUACUAAGUUUACAUUCAUUUUUAUUAUGUACUAUUUGCAUUUAUAGUCACAUGAGUUUUCAUAACUAUUUACACGUCUGCAUCAUUAAUAAAAAUUUGAUUAUCAUAUAAUAACAUUUACAAUAUUACAUGGUUAUAUAAUAAGUGUCUCUUGCGACUUGUUUAAAGUGUGUGUUACGACACACGUCUAAAAGUUAGAUGCAAAAAUGCAAUUUGUGCAGGUCCCAGUAUGAUCAAACUGAAGCUAGAUAUGUAUACAUGGAAGUAUCAUUAACAUAAAUAAAUACAUACACAGUUGGUAAAUUAUGAUAAAAGAUAUUGUAAUUUCCCAAAAAAUGGUUUCAUGAAGCAAGUUUGUACCAUCUAAAGUUUCAAUGCAAUAGCCGUUGUUUCAACGUUUACACGUAAAACAAAAGAGUUUUAAAGUUCUAAUAUAACUUACACACUUUAAAAAGCGUCUGCAAACUUCAAUUGAGACAAAAUGUAAAAGAAAGUGUUUUUGAUUUUUUCAUUCCAUUGCAG